rnacentral:rRNA from 1 species
GACGAACGCUGGCGGCGUGCUUAACACAUGCAAGUCGAACGGAAAGGCCCUGCUUUUGUGGGGUGCUCGAGUGGCGAACGGGUGAGUAACACGUGAGUAACCUGCCCUUGACUUUGGGAUAACUUCAGGAAACUGGGGCUAAUACCGGAUAGGAGCUCCUGCUGCAUGGUGGGGGUUGGAAAGUUUCGGCGGUUGGGGAUGGAUUCGCGGCUUAUCAGCUUGUUGGUUGGGUAGUGGCUUACCCAGGCUUUGACGGGUAGGCGGCCUGAGAGGGUGAACGGCCACAUUGGGACUGCGAUACGGCCCAGACUCCUACAGGAGGCAGCAGGGGGGAAUAUUGCACAAUGGGCGGAAGCCUGAGGCAGAGACGCCGCGUGCGGGAUGACGGCCUUCGGGUUGUAAACCGCUUUCGCCUGUGACGAAGCGGGAGUGACGGUAAUGGGUAAAGAAGCACCGGCUAACUACGUG